rnacentral:lncRNA from 1 species
CAAAAGUAUCACGCAGAAGUAUUCUAUGUGUUCAAUUAUUUGAAAAACUGUUGUAGGAAGUAAAUUUAUCAUAACUAUCAGAACUUCACUUUUUUAGAAACAAAAUCACAAUCCACAUGGGUGUGUAACAUCAUAUAUAGAAACUGUAAAAAGAACAUUCCGGUGAUUUAGAUUUGAUGUUAAAAAAUUGCUAAUGAACCGGACAGAUUCACCAGCUUAAUAUGUGAAUAUACAGUGUAAAUAAAGUGCGAAUCCUAAAAUAUCAUUUUCACUGUAUCCGCUGUGAAUUUCUAAUGUAGAAUGAUAAACAGACGACGAAUUCAUGAUUUUUUUCAUAACUAUAAGAAAUAAAAUAUGAAUUGUACUGUUUUCAUAAAUUCAUGAUAUAGAUAAGAGAUGCAGUCGGGCUUCCCUGCGCCUAUAGUCAUCCUGGUGUUCAAUUGAUAAAGCAAUAUAUAAAUAUUAAGAUUAGUUUACGAACAGAGCGUGCAAGAAUAUUUUUUUUCCCUCCACUUCAACAUUAAUAAUUUUAUUCCACUAAACAAGCUUGGUGUCUUUUUCUAGCCA